rnacentral:lncRNA from 10 species
GGUGUCUUGCUCUGUUGCCCAGGCUGGAGUGCAGUGGUGCGAUCUUGGCUCACUGCAACCUGCCCCUCCCAGGUGCAAGCAAUUCUUCUGCUUCAGCCUCUCAAGUAGCUGGGAUUAUAGGCGCAUGCCACCAAGCCCAGUUAUUUUUUUUUUUUUUUUUUGAGACGGAGUCUUGCUGUCGCCCAGGCUGGAGUGCAGUGGCGCGAUCUCUGCUCACUGCAGGCUCUGCCCGCUGGGUUCACGCCAUUCUCCUGCCUCAGCCUCCUGAGCAGCUGGGACUACAGGCGCCCGCCACCUCGCCCAGCUAAUUUUUUGUAUUUUUAGUAGAGAUGGGGUUUCACCAUGUUAGCCAGGAUGGUCUCGAUCUCCUGACCUCAUGAUCCGCCCGCCUUGGCCUCCCAAAGUGCUGGGAUUACAGGCGUGAGCCACCGCGCUCAGCCAGCCCAGCUAAUUUUUAUAUUGUUAGUAGAGAUGGGGUUUCAUUAUGUUGGUCAGGCUGGUCUCGAACUCCUGAUCUCAAGUGAUCCUCCCACCUCAGUCUCCCAGCGUUGAGAAAUAACAUCUUAAUAUUACCGUGAACCUAGUGUAGACUUUAUGGAUACUUCAAAAGGACCGCACUUUGGAAACCACAGAGUUAAACAAUAUCAAGUCUCAUUGGCUUCAUGCAAUAAAAAUGUACUCCAAUGAAGACUGGCCAGCUUCCCAUGGAGAGCUGGCUUUUUCCAUCAUGCUGUAAAUUAUACCAUCUGGAAUGCGUGGUUUCCAAGUUUACUGAGAGAGAGAAGGGGGCUGGUGAAUCAGGUGGGAUGCUUUUAAGGGUAGGGCCUGAGCCAGGCACACUGGCUCAUGCCUAUAUGACAUCAGCUAUUAGGGAGGCUGAGGUGGGAGGAUUGUUUGAGCACAGGAGGUUGAGGCUGCAGUGAGUCAUGAUCACAGCACUGCACUCCAGCCUGGGUGACAGAACAAGACUCAGACCUUUAAAUAAAAAAAAGACUAGGGCCUAGAGGUGGGGCAUGUCACUGGAAAUGUCAUCUUCCUGUGUGUCCAGGAAGAGAAUUGGGUGUGGUGAACACUUAGCAUCUGCUCCACCCCUGGGGUGAUCGUGGCGCUCACAUGAUCCUGUGACCGGAAGCCUCCACAGGGUCACUUCAUGAACAUUUCUCAUGUUUCUGCAGCAUUUUCAAACAGUUGCCCUGUUAGUGACAGCAGUUAUAACAGGUGACUUUGACUUCGAGCAUUUGUCCCAUUCAAAUUAAUUUUUCUAUUUUAAUUAUAAAAGUAAUACAUGUUCACACACACAAAGCAUCAUUUCAAUGAUCAGAAGGACAAAAGAGAAAGAUAAACAUUACACCCCAUGGAACCUCCUUGAACUGUGUCACCACCCGCGAGAAGCAUAGUGAAUUCUCUCAAAAAGUUUCUUUGCAUCUCUAAGCUUACAUCUACAUCUAUUUUUUGGAAUGCAGUUGGGGUCAUAUUAUGCAUACUGUUCUAUAAAUCCGGAAGGAGGGGCAUUAAGUAGACAAGAUGAUAUGCAGAAGCAGAUGGAAGGUAGAAAAACUCCUCUGCAUGAAUUCAGGGCUCCCUCUGGCUGAAAGAAGAAAAAGAAGAGCGUGGCUGGGGAUGUGGCCGUAGAGCAAUGACAGUCAGGCCUAGCCUCCCAGCAGCACGCAGGAGAGGCAGCCAGACCCCCAGAUGGACUGCCCAGUCCUCACAGGCAGAUAGGGUGUGGACAGCCUCACAAAAAUGCCUGGGUCCCCAGCACUGCAGAGUCUUCAGCAAGUUGCUGGGCCUAGAGUCGUGACGACUAGGCAUGGUGGCCUUCUCAGUGGUCAUCUGUGAGGACACAUAACCAUGGACUAAUUCCCCUCCUACCCUCUGCGUGGCAUAACCCUGAACAGAGAACAAACACAAGAACAAACCUAGUGCCAGGAGUGGAACCCUGCCUGUUUUUGUAUAACCCACAAGUCAAGAAUGGUUCCUUCCUUCCUUCCUUCCUUCCUUUCUUCCUUCCUUCCUUCCUUCCUUCUCUUUCUUUCUUUUCUUUCUUUCAGAGGGUGUCUUGUUCUGUCGCCCAGGCUGGAGUGCAGUGGUGUGAUCUUGGCUCACUGCAACCUCCGCCUCCUGGGUUCAAGCGAUUCUCCUGCCUCAGUCUCCCAAGUAGCUGGGAUUACAGGCAUCUGCCACCACACCUGGCUAAUUUUUGUAUUUUAGUAGAGACAGGGUUUCACUAUGUAGGUCAAGCUGGUCUUGAACUCCUGACCUCAAAUGAUCCAUCCGCCUCGGUCUCCCAAAGUGCUGGGAUUACAGGCGUGAGCCACUGUGCCCGGCCUUAUUGAUUGAUUGAUUGAGACAGGGUUUCAUUCUGUCAUGCAGGCUGAGUGCAGUAGUGGGAUCACAGCUCACUGCAGCCUCAACCUCCUGGGCUCAAGGGAUCCUCCAGCCUCAGCCUCCCAAGGAUUUUUUUUUUUUUUUGAGUCGGAGUCUUGCACUCUCGCCCAGGCUGGAGUGCAGUGGCGCAAUCUGGGCUCACUGCAAGCUCCGGCUCCAGGGUUCAAGCCAUUCUCCUGCCUCAGCCUCCUGAGCAGCUGGGACUAUAGGCGCCCGCUACCAUGCCCGGCUAAUUUUUUGUAUUUUUAGUAGAGACAGGGUUUCACUGUGUUAGCCAGGAUGGUCUCAAUCUCUUGAUCUUGCGAUCCGCCUGCUCGGCCUCCCAAAGUACUGGGAUUACAGUCAUGAGCCACCAUGCCUGGCAUUUUUUUUUUUAAACCAACUAAGAAGCACUGAAGUUUUUCUAAAGUUUUUACAUUUCUCUCCUUCUCCCUCCAUCUCUCUUUUUCUCUCUCUCUCUCUCUUUUUCCAAGAUAUGGUCUCCCUCUGUUGUCCAGGCUGGAGUGCAGUGAGCUCCUGGCCUCAAAUGAUCCUCCUGCCUCAGCCUCCCAAAGGGUAGGGACUACAGGUGCGCACCACCACACUCAGCUAAUUUAAAAUUUUUUUUGUAGAGAUAGGGUCUCCUGAUGUUGCCCAGGCUGCGUCUCCAACUCCUGGGUUUAAGUCAUCUUCUUGCCUUGGCCUCCCAAAGGGCCAGGAUUACAGGCGUGAACCACAAUGAAAAAAAAUCGAAUGGAGGCUAUUUUGUGACACAUUAAAGUUAUCUAAAAUUCUAAUUUCAGUGUGCAGACAUGGAGUUUUAUUGAAAUGUAGCCUGGUUCAUCUGUUACAUGGUGCCUGUGUCUGCUUUUGGGUUCCAACAGCAGAGUCGAGUUGUUGGAACAGAGAUCGUAAGUGGUGCUCUCGUCACUUUUCUUUGCUGCUCAGUGCACUAUAAAUUGCAGUUUUGGGCCGGGUGUCGUGGCUCAUGCCUGUAAUCCCAGCACUUUGGGAGGCCGAAGCAGAUGGAUCACCUGAGGUCAGGAGUUUGAGACCAGCCUGGCCAGCAUGGUGAAACCCCAUCUCUACUAAAAACACAAAAAUUAGUUGGGCAUGGUGGCGGGGGCCUGUAAUUCCAGCUACUUGGGAGGCUGAGGCAGGAGAAUCGCUUGAACCCGGGAGGCAGAGGUUGCAGUGAGCUGAGAUCGCACCAUUGCACUCCAGCCUGGGUGACAAGAGCGAAACUCCGUCUCAAAAUAAAUAAAUACAUAAAUAAAUUUCAGUUUUGAAGUUACAACUUGAUAGUUUUGUUGUUGUUGUUGUUGUUGUUUGAGAUGGAGUCUUGCUCUGUCGCCAGGCUGGAGUGCAGUGGUGUGAUCUCGGCUCACUGCAACCUUCACCUCCCAGGUUCAAGCCAUUCUCCUGUCUCAACCUCCUGAGUAGCUGGGAUUACAGGUGCACACCAUCACGCCCACCUAAUUUUUGUAUUUUUAGUAGAGAAGGGGUUUCACCAUGUUGGCCAGGCUGGUUUCAAACUCCUGACCUCAGGUGAUCCACCCACCCUGGUCUCCCAAAAUGCUGGGAUUACAGGCAUGAGUCACUGCACCUGGCCACAACUUGAUAGUUUGGAGUACCAAAUGUAUCAUCAUACAAUGACGAUUUAUUUUAUUUUAUUUUAUUUUGCUUUAUUUUUGAGACAGAGUCUUACUCUGUCCCCCAGGCUGGAGUGCAGUGGUGCAAUCUUGGCUCACUGCAGCCUCUGCCUCCUGGGUUCAAGCGAUUUUUGUGCCUCAGUCUCUGAAUACCUGGGAUUACAGGCACGUGCCACCAUGUUUGGCUAAUUUUUGUAUUUUUAGUAGAGACUUGGUUUUGCUAUGUUGGCUAGGCUGGUCUUGAACUUCUGACCUCAGGUGAUUCACCCACCUCAGCCUCCCAAAGUGCUGGGAUUACAGAUGUGAGCCACUGCGCCCGGCCUAUUUUAUUCCAUUACCAGUUCAUACCUAUCAUGUGAAAAGAAGAAAGUAGGCUGGACGUGGUGGCUUACACCUGUAAUCCCACACUUUGGGAGGCCGAGGUAGGCGGAUCACCUGAGGUCAGGAGUUGCAUUCCAGCCUGACCCACAUGGUGAAACCCCGUCUCUAUUAAAAAUACAAAAAUGGGCGUGGUGGCGGGCGCCUGUAAUCCCAGCUACUCAGGAGGCUAAGGCAGGAGAAUCACUUGAACCCGACAGGCAGAGGUUGUGGUGAGCCGAGAUCAUGCCAUUGCACUCCAGCCUGGGCGUCAAGAGUGAAACUCCAUCUCAAAAAAAAAAAAAGAAGAAGAAGAAGAAGAAAAGGGACAAGAGUCAGUCAUUAUACUGGGGACCUGCCUUAUGCUGGAGCCUAGAGAUCUUAGGGCUUUCCUGACUUUCCAAGGAUGGGAUUCAGUAUGGCAAAGGCAGAGUGGGAUACAAGUGAGUGGGAUGGGGGAAUGGAAAAGGAUUAACUAGGCUGCUCGUAGGGCCUUAGACAAAGGUGCUUCCAGGUCUGGUCAGCUGCUUGGGGAAGCCCACGAGGGCACCACGUGGCCCUCCCAUUCGAUAACAUCCCUGUUCCUUUAGUCAUGCCAGCAUCGAAGCAUGGACUGGAUGGACUCUUGUUAUCAUCAUGAGGACUGCAGAGCACAUGACAUCCAAGGACACAGCUGAAAUCUCCAUGCCACCCAUCACUUUAUCUUGGUGGCAGCAGGAAUGAGGACCUAAUAGGAAAUCAGCUCACCCAGGCAACCCCAUGCAGAAGGUUUUCCCACUUUUCCCAACAACCACCAGUUCUGGAGCCUAUAUCCACCUAUUUGUUCAAGACAUCCUACCUGCUUUCCCUUCUUUCUUUCCUUUUUUUUUUUCUUUUUUUUUCUUUUUUUAGAUGGAGUCUUGCUCUGUCACCCAGGCUGGAGUGCAGUGGCGUGAUCUUGGCUCACUGCAACCUCUGCCUCCUGGGUUCAAGCGAUUCUCCUGCCUCAGCCUCCCGGGUAGCUGGGACUACAGGUGUGCACCACCACACCCAGCUAUUUUUUUUUUUUUGAGAUGGAGUUUCACUCUUGUCUCCCAGGCUGGAGGGCAAUGGCAUGAUCUCAGCUCACUGCAACCUCCGCCUCCCAGGUUUAAGCGAUUCUCCUGCCUCAGCCUCCUGAGUAGCUGGGAUUACCAGCAUGUGCCACCACCAUGCCCAGCUAAUUUUGAUAUUUUUAGUAGAGACGGGGUUUCACCAUGUUGGCCAGGCUGGUCUUGAACUCCUGACCACAGGUGAUCCACUCGCCUUGGCCUCCCAAAGUGCUGUGAUUACAGGAGUGAGCCACUGUGGCUGGCCCCGGCUAAUUUUUUAAUAUAUAUAUAUAUUUUUAUAAGAGACAGGGUUUCACCACGUUGGCCAGGCUGGUCUCCAACUCCUGACCUCAAGUGAUCUGCCCACCUUGGCCUCCCAAAGUGCUGUGAUUACAGGCAUGAGCCACCAUGCCUGGCCCCUUCUUUUUUUCUUGCCUUUCCUCAUCAGCUUGGACCCCAGGGUCGAGACCUACAACCUCCCUCUGGGUCAUUAUCUAGGGCACCAUGCCCAGUGGUAGUAUGUGUCCCUCCUGUCUAUGACAUGCCUGAUCGGGGUCCACCUCAUGUCCCAUUCUCUCUCAUACUCCAUUAUCAGAAGAAUGAAGUGCCAGGGAAUAGGCAGCAGGUGGCCUAGUGCCUCAUCACCCUGUGAUAUCCACGGAUCUGCUGUAACCUCAGUCUUCAGUUGGGGGUUGAGCAUGGGGUGAUGAGGGUGCAUUCAUAGUCCAAAAAGCAAGAAUCGUAUCCUAAAGUGGUGACUCAGCUUGGCCCUGAUCAGGCCAGCAGCAUCUGGGCUGUGCAGUAUUUGGUGGAACCAGUGAUUUCUAUGUCAUGUGUCUGCUGCCAAGGGAAUAAGGGGAGGGAGGAUCAGGCAAGGGCCUGAGGCCAGCUCUGCCUCCGCUCCACGUGCUGGCCCAGAAUAGACCCUGCCCCUGGUCUGAUGCUCUUCCUCCAUCCCCAGGGUCCUCAGGCAACGGGGGAAAAUGAGCAGGGCCAGGUUGGGGAGGGAGUCUGGCCCCAGUGCUCCUGACACUUGCUCCCCAGCUGAGAAAAGUAGACUUUUCUGUGAAAUGAGAAUAUCAUCAUCUUGGUUGCCAGGUUUAGAUUUGCCAAGAAUGGGAGGCUGAGGCCUUGUUCCUUCUUGUCUGCACCCCCUCUCCUCUGUCCUAGGCCUUUGGAUCACUGCUGAGGAAGGCUUCCCAAGCCCACCCCCAGAAAGAACUGAGCUUGGCCAGGUGCAGUGGCUCAUGCCUGUAAUCCCAGCACUUUGAAAGGCUGAAGCAAGAGGAUUGCUUGAGCCCAGGAGUUCAAGAGCCUGGGCAACAUAGCAAGAUCCUGUCCUUAAAUUAAAAAAUUAAAAAAUAUAUAUAUAUACACAUAUAUAUGUAUAUAAAUCACGCCCUUGCCUGAUCCUCCCCCCAACCUUAUUCCCUUGGCAACAGACACAUGACAAAAAAAAAAAAAAAUGUAAUCCCAGCACUUUGGGAGGCCGAAGCAGGUGGAUCACCUGAGGUCAGGAGUUUGAGACCAGCCUGACCAACAUGGUGAAACCCCAUCUCUACUAAAAAUACAAAAUUAGCUGGACAUGGUGGUGUGCUCCUGUAAUCCCAGCUACUCAGGAGGCUGAGGCAGGAGAAUCACUUGAAUCCAGGAGGCAGAGUUUGCAGUGAGCCGAAAUCGUGUUAUUGUACUCCAGUUUGGGCAACAAGAGCGAAACUCCAUGUCAAAAAAAAAAAAAAGGCCAGGUGCAGUGGCUCACACCUGUAAUCCCAGCACUUUGGGAGGCCGAGGCAGGCAGAUCAUAAGGUCAGGAGAUUGAGACCAUCCUGGCUAACACGGUGAAACCCCAUCUCUACUAAAAAUACAAAAAGUUAGCGGGGCGUGGUAGUGUGCGCCUGUAGUCCCAGCUACUCGGGAGGCUGAGGCAGGAGGAUGGCGUGAACCCGGGAGGCAGAGCUUGCAGUGAGCUGAGUUCACACCACUGCACUCCAGCCCGGGUGACAGAGCGAGACUGUCUCAAAAAAAGAGAAAGAAAGAGAAAGAGAGAAAGAAAGAAAGAAAGAGAAAGAAAGAAAGAGAAGGAAGGAAGGAAGGAAGGAGAGAAAGAGAGAAAAUAAAGAACUGAGCUGGGUAUAAGCCACUGUCUUCAACCUUUGCAGCACUACAGGCUCCACGACAGAAGUUCUGAACUGGGACUGUUCAGACAAUGUGUCUUGUCUUACCACUGUAGAAAGGUGACAAGAGCAGGAGGACCUGGGACUUGGUGUAUUUGGGGCCUCCCUGGGUUGGCCACAGCUCUUUCCAGCUCAUUCCUCUUGUAGGCUGCCCUGAACUUGCUAACCCAGGGCCAGACUCUGGCCUAUGAUGAGGAAGCCAUCCUGUGUGCUGGCACUCACCCUGGCUGUUCCAGUUUGUACCUUGGGAGUCAGUUUUCUGACCCCCAAUGUUAUGUCCGAGCUGGAAUCUGAGGACAGGGCUGCUCAGUUGGGUUCUCAGGAGCCUGGUGAAGAUAUCAGGUCCAAUGGGGCCUAUGACCUUGAACUCCAUUUUUUCAGGGCUGUCAAUAACAGGAGGAGCAUAGGUUGUCAUUGGGUGAAGUUGCCCAAGAUGGUUGCCUAGAAGGAGUUUAGGGGGUUGGAUCCUGGGGUCCAGGCCACAGAUGGAGGCUGCAGAGAGUGGAACUUGGGAAGCCAGUGCUGGAAAGGUGGGAGACUCUGGAGAGAGGAGUGAGGGGUGCUCUAGAAAAGGUGAUGGGUUGGAGGAAUCAUAGGAAUCCCUGGGGUGUCCACAUAAGUGUCAUCUCCUGACAUGGGGAAGUGGUGGGUGGCAUUCAGACCCAGCUUCUCUGGACCCUUCCUUGACUUUGGUUCACCCUGCAAGUACGGCUGUGGGCCGGCCUGUGGCCAGGUGGUCUUAGCUGGACCACGAGGGCUGUGUGCUUUGCAGGCCCCAGUAACAGUGACAAAAUCCAUUCAGGACAUGCUGAAGGCAAUAAGGUGAUGGCUGGGCUCACAGAAAAAGAGGCGGGGGCCUUCCUGGACUAGGAAGGCUGAGUCAUCUCCUGGUGGGUAUCUCCAAGGAGUGGACCAGACCACAGGAGCCCCAAAAGACCCAAAUUCUUUGUGUUCAAUACCCAGCCUUCACAUCAACCCUGCUCCCUCCACCCCCAGGUUCCUAGUAAGCCCUAAGCAUUUGCACCAGGCUCUGGCAUGCAGUAAGUGCUCAGGACAUAUUUUAAGAUAAAGGAAUGAGCGCUGCCUCCUCACUGGGUUACAAGGGCCAGCACCUAUUUGGUGUCCCCGGAGCUGAGUGUCAGGCCGCUUAUUCCUCUGCCUCUAACAUCCCCAGCAGCCCUUCCCACUAAUUGGCUGCAGGCCUCAGCCAUCAUCUAGUACCAGAAAGACCUUGGGCUUUGGAGUUAGAAAUGGUGGGUUAGGGCAGAGAUUCUCAAAGCUCAGUCACAUCAGAGCCACCUGAAAGGUCUGUUAAAACUCUAGCAGUUGGCCGGGCGCGGUGGCUCACAUCUGUAAUCCCUGCACUUGGGGAGGCCGAGGUGGGCGGAUCACGAGGUCAGGGGUUCGAGACCAGCCUGGCUAAUAUAGUGAAAGCUUGUCUCUACUAAAAAACACAAAAAUUAGCCGGGCAUGGUGGCUCGUGCCUGUAGUCCCAGCUACUCGGGAGGCUGAGGCAGGAGAAUCGCUGGAACCUGGGAAGCGGAGGUUGCAGUGAGCCGAGAUGGAGCCACUGCACUCCAGCCUGGGCGACACAGUGAGACUCCAUUUCAAAACAAACAAACAAACAAACAAAUAAACAAACAAACUCUAGCAGCUGAGCCCUACCCCAGGAGUUUGUGAUUCAUUAUGUUGGGGCAGAGCCAGACUUAACAUCCUCCCAGGUUCCUACCUUAGGCUGAUGCUGUUGGUGUGGGCGCCACAUUUUGGGGGAUAAGUAUGCUUAGACACACGUGGAACAGACUCUUGGUGUCCACUGCUGGUAUCUGCCUCUGAUGUGUCUGGGGCUUUCUGAGCUCACUCUACAAGUUGGUCAGAAGUGCUAGGAGUUAACUCUCCCCCAACAACCCUCCAAGGGACUGAGACAGGGUUGCUGUAUAUCUACUCACCUUCCUCCUGCCUUGGGUGGAACUUCUCUGAGACAUGCAUUCUGCACUGCAGCCCAGAGUUCCCCACCCACACCCCGGGGGGACCAGGCAUCCCUGGUGGAACCCUGCUUAUGACCCACUUUAUAGUGGCUGUCUUCCCUCCCUGUAUUUUUGUACGCUUGUUCUUUGUAUCCUCUUUUAUUUCCUUAUUUAUUUUUGAGACAGGGUCUUGCUCUGUCGCCCAGACUGAGUGUAGUGGCAUGCUCACGGCUUACUGCAGUCUUUUUUUUUUGAGAUGGAGUCUUGCUCUGUCGCCCAGGCUGGAGUGCAGUGGUGCAAUCUCAGCUCACUGUAAGCUCUGCCUCCCGGGUUCAAGCCAUUCUCCUGCCUCAGCCUC